GUAGGUCACAAGCGUUGUCCGGAAUUACUGGGUGUAAAGGGAGCGCAGGCGGGAAGACAAGUUGGAAGUGAAAUCUAUGGGCUCAACCCAUAAACUGCUUUCAAAACUGUUUUUCUUGAGUAGUGCAGAGGUAGGCGGAAUUCCCGGUGUAGCGGUGGAAUGCGCAGAUAUCGGGAGGAACACCAGUGGCGAAGGCGGCCUACUGGGCACCAACUGACGCUGAGGCUCGAAAGUGUGGGUAGCAAACAGGAUUAGAUACCCUGGUAGUCCACACCGUAAACGAUGAUUACUAGGUGUUGGAGGAUUGACCCCUUCAGUGCCGCAGUUAACACAAUAAGUAAUCCACCUGGGGAGUACGACCGCAAGGUG
rnacentral:rRNA from 1 species